UAAAUGCAGGUAGCUCAAUUGGUAGAGCCUCGAAUGCUUAAUUCGAUUGUUGUGGGUUCGAGUCCCACCCUUUUUAC
rnacentral:tRNA from 3 species